rnacentral:rRNA from 1 species
UACGUAGGGUGCGAGCGUUGUCCGGAUUUAUUGGGCGUAAAGAGCGUGUAGGCGGCCAGGUAGGUCUGCUGUGAAAACUCGAGGCUCAACCUCGAGACGUCGGCGGAAACCAUCUGGCUAGAGUCCGGAAGAGGAGAGUGGAAUUCCUGGUGUAGCGGUGAAAUGCGCAGAUAUCAGGAGGAACACCAAUUGCGAAGGCAGCUCGCUGGAACGUAACUGACGCUGAGACGCGAAAGCGUGGGGAGCAAACAGG